rnacentral:tRNA from 1 species
GGAGUUGUGGCUCAGUGGUAGAGCGUUCACCUCGCACUUGCGAGGCCCUGAGUUCAAUCCUCAGCACCA